rnacentral:lncRNA from 1 species
CACAUCUAUUUGUCAGACUUUAUAGUUUAGGUAUGCUGCUAUCGCAAGUAUGAUCCAAAUGGAUUUGAGUAUUGCCACAAAAAAUAUAGUCAAUACCAUAAUGUUGAUGAUACCCCUUAGCAACUAGAUGAGCUUAGGUCUUCACCUUCCCAUCUAUGUCCUUUUUCUUUUUGAAGACCCACUUACAUCCUAUGGAUUUUACCCCUUCAGAUGGAUCAACUAAUGUCCACACAUUGUUGAUCUUCAUGGACUCCAUUUCGGAUUUCAUGGAUUCAUGCUAUUUCUUAAAGUUGGACCUCUGUAUUGCAUCUAUAUAGGUGACUGGAUCCUCGUUGUUCUCAUCGAGCUCAAUAGGAUCUCCAUCCCGAAUCAAAAAACCU